rnacentral:rRNA from 3 species
CGUAAAGCGCACGCAGGCGGUCUGUCAAGUCGGAUGUGAAAUCCCCGGGCUCAACCUGGGAACUGCAUUCGAAACUGGCAGGCUUGAGUCUUGUAGAGGGGGGUAGAAUUCCAGGUGUAGCGGUGAAAUGCGUAGAGAUCUGGAGGAAUACCGGUGGCGAAGGCGGCCCCCUGGACAAAGACUGACGCUCAGGUGCGAAAGCGUGGGGAGCAAACAGGAUUAGAUACCCUGGUAGUCCACGCCGUAAACGAUGUCUACUUGGAGGUUGUGCCCUUGAGGCGUGGCUUCCGGAGCUAACGCGUUAAGUAGACCGCCUGGGGAGUACGGCCGCAAGGUUAAAACUCAAAUGAAUUGACGGGGGCCCGCACAAGCGGUGGAGCAUGUGGUUUAAUUCGAUGCAACGCGAAGAACC